GCAGCCAAGGGCCUUUCAGAAAGAACUAUAAACAGUCGUGAUCAAGGGGAAACAUUGAAUGUUCUUCAACCAAGCUUUACUCUCUCAACUCACCCUCAGAAUCCGAUUGAAGUCUUCCUUGUCAACUCUUAGGAAGUGACAAUUAUCUUCCCGAAGAACAAUGGAUGCAGCUCUCGGAGCAUCGUUCACCAGAGCUAACUUGCCAAAGUCAUCUCCCUCAUGCAGGGUGCAGACCACACCCUGGGGAGAGCAGGACAGUCAGGAAAAAAAAAAGGGACCAAAAACCCUCCUUCCCCUCCCCUGCCACCAAACACCGUGCCUGUGAGUGGACUGCAUUAGUGUUAUAAUCAGAUUAAAAUGCUUCAUAUUUCUUUCACAGAAUAAACACAGUCAAUG
rnacentral:lncRNA from 1 species